GCUUAACACAUGCAAGUCGAACGCUCCGCAAGGUGAGUGGCAGACGGGUGAGUAACGCGUGGGAACCUUCCCUAUGGUACGGAACAACUUCGGGAAACCGAAGCUAAUACCGUAUAUCUCCUCCGGGAGAAAGAUUUAUCGCCAUAGGAUGGGCCCGCGUUGGAUUAGCUAGUUGGUAGGGUAAAGGCCUACCAAGGCGACGAUCCAUAGCUGGUCUGAGAGGAUGAUCAGCCACACUGGGACUGAGACACGGCCCAGACUCCUACGGGAGGCAGCAGUGGGGAAUAUUGGACAAUGGGGGCAACCCUGAUCCAGCCAUGCCGCGUGAGUGAAGAAGGCCUUAGGGUUGUAAAGCUCUUUCGCUAGGGACGAUAAUGACGGUACCUAGAUAAGAAGCCCCGGCUAACUUCGUGCCAGCAGCCGCGGUAAUACGAAGGGGGCUAGCGUUGUUCGGAAUUACUGGGCGUAAAGCGCACGCAGGCGGAUUGAUAAGUCAGGGGUGAAAUCCCGGGGCUCAACCUCGGAAUUGCCUUUGAUACUGUCUAUCUUCGAGUUCGGGAGAGGU
rnacentral:rRNA from 1 species